rnacentral:rRNA from 1 species
UAGGGAAUCUUCGGCAAUGGACGAAAGUCUGACCGAGCAACGCCGCGUGAGUGAAGAAGGUUUUCGGAUCGUAAAACUCUGUUGGUAGAGAAGAACGUUGGUGAGAGUGGAAAGCUCAUCAAGUGACGGUAACUACCCAGAAAGGGACGGCUAACUACGUGCCAGCAGCCGCGGUAAUACGUAGGUCCCGAGCGUUGUCCGGAUUUAUUGGGCGUAAAGCGAGCGCAGGUGGUUUAUUAAGUCUGGUGUAAAAGGCAGUGGCUCAACCAUUGUAUGCAUUGGAAACUGGUAGACUUGAGUGCAGGAGAGGAGAGUGGAAUUCCAUGUGUAGCGGUGAAAUGCGUAGAUAUAUGGAGGAACACCGGUGGCGAAAGCGGCUCUCUGGCCUGUAACUGACACUGAGGCUCGAAAGCGUGGGGAGCAAACAGGAUUAGAUACCCUGGUAGUCCACGCCGUAAACGAUGAGUGCUAGAUGUAGGGAGCUAUAAGUUCUCUGUAUCGCA